AGGAGGCCAGAGGGAAACAGUGGGGCUUUCGAAGCUUAUCAAAAGCAAACCUUGCUCUUUUGAAAAAGCAUUUUCCAACGCAACCUGGGGACAAAGUGGGGUUAAAUUUUACACAGAUUGCUUACGAGCAAGAGUUAAGUGGCUAACAAGUCAUGAAAUCUUACGGAGAAGCAGGUAAAGCCAAAAUUAAAAACUCCCUCCGAGUCAGCCCAUUCUGCGACCCACCUCCUCCCCUUUGCGGCAGGAACUCUACUCCAUCGAGGGGCUUUGCUGCAGUGGCACUGCCCACGCAUACUCAACUAAAAGACUCAGACCACGCCAGCCAUGCCACGAGGUGUGUUUUAUUUUCAUUAUUCAUACAAAUAAUUUUCUAUAAUAUCCCGGGGCAAACCGGAGAAUUUGGCAGUCCGAUUGGGGGGGGGCCGGUGGCAUCGGCGCGGAGUGCCCAGGUUCACAGUGCAGCUUGUGGCUCGUGUCCAUCUUGCAGGUGGCUCU
rnacentral:lncRNA from 1 species